rnacentral:tRNA from 1 species
AUUUGUAUGGUUUAAAAAAAACACUACAUUUUCAUUGUAUAAUUAGAAAAUCUUUCUUGCAAAUA